AGUAGCGUGAAGGAUGAAGGUUUAUGGAUUGUAAACUUCUUUUAUACGGGAAUAACGAAUCCACGCGUGGAUUUUUGCAUGUACCGUAUGAAUAAGGAUCGGCUAACUCCGUGCCAGCAGCCGCGGUAAUACGGAGGAUCCGAGCGUUAUCCGGAUUUAUUGGGUUUAAAGGGAGCGUAGAUGGGUUGUUAAGUCAGUUGUGAAAGUUUGCGGCUCAACCGUAAAAUUGCAAUUGAUACUGGCAGUCUUGAGUACAGUUGAGGUAGGCGGAAUUCGUGGUGUAGCGGUGAAAUGC
rnacentral:rRNA from 1 species